rnacentral:lncRNA from 1 species
CAGAGGGUUGUGUGGUGUCCACAGGUCAAACACACACAAAAAGCUGUUACAACAAAUCGCCGAGGGCCUCCACAACUCAUCAGAUUGGAACCGAUGUGUGGUAAGUAACCGACAUUAUAAUGGGAAAGAAAUGUUCUGAUAAGAGAGUUUGAAAAAUCGGCUAUUAUCAAUUAGCCAAUCCCGACGUGACUUAAAAGUGACGUAACUUAGGAAUAUUUGAAGACAAUGUGAUGAUGGUGCAUCAAGAGAUUUCCCUUGCUGAAGGAUAUCCCAGGUCAGAUACGGUUCAAAUUAUGGGUAUACAAUGUAUUUACAAUUACUACCCUUAAGUUUUCCAAUGGUUUAAAAUGUAAAGUUUUACGACUGACAUUGAUGUUAUCUGCUUAAACCACUAGGAAAGUUCUAUCAUUACUGUACUGAUUCUCUGAUUUUCCUGUAUCAGACUCCUUUUUAUAUGUUACCUACUUGAGCUAAAAAUUAUACAUGGAAAAAAAAGUAAAGAAGUUUUUUUGUGAGCAAAAAUCAGGUCUGUAAACGUGAAGAAUGCCAUUCCAUGUGAGAUUCUGUAAAAUUGUGUGACAGAGCAGACUUUUCAAACAAGAAUCAUUGGUGGUGACGGAGUUAUCCACAUAUGACAGUGUAAGAUGUUUUCUGCGGUUGUUACAAUAUUGUAUUUUUCAAAAAGAUAUGUUUUUGCUUGAUGCUAAUUGGUGACCAACAAAGUACAUCUCUUUGACAGCCUAUGCAUCAUAGGCCGAAGGAAUUUAGUGAAUGUGUAAUCCCAAAUGACUGCAUGCUAAGAAGAAGUGACCCUUAUUUUAGCAGAAAGUCAAGUAUUUCCAUUUUAUUUCAAGGAAUUUUAUUAAAGGACACAGAGGCUCCUAUUAGGCUUUAUCUCUUUCUUUAUUCCUCAGCAGCAAAGAAAGGAUAUUGAUAUUUUUAAUAUAGCAAUAACAAGAAAAACAAAUACCCCUUAAGGGUUAACCAUAUAACAUUCCAUAUACAUUAACCAAUAGGAUCAGUCCUUGUACUAUAUCCCCUCAUGUGAGCUAAACUACUUCCUCUUUCUUUGCUGCUGCCUCAGCUAAGUACCACAUAAUUUGUUUCAGCGCCACAAAAUAUUGUGUAUUUUUUGUUAAUUGUGUUUUCAGUUUCUUCUGGUUUAAUAUUGUUAUCUUUAUACUAUUCUUUUUUCUGUAUAUUGUUGUUCUGUAUAUUAUAUGUGCCUUUUGAUAACUGUGCCUUGCCCUAGCUGUUCAGCUUAGUGUUCAGCCAAUUACCCUGUGCUGCUGGUAUACAAACCACUGCAGUGCUGUCAGUGUGCACUUGUCCACUAGUGACAGUUCUAUUUUUAGUGCCUUUCUCCCUCUACUAUUACUGUGACACAUCCUGACCACUAUGCAGUCCCCUGUUAGUAAACAGACGGUUACCCCCCCCCCCACCUCUAAUAAACCCAGCAAACGUGAUACGACAGCCCUGUCUACAGACACUGCUGCCACUGGGGGAGUUGGGGACGCAUCCCAGGAGCACGUGAACUCAGAGGAGUUCCAGGCGCUCCUGGAUGCUACGAUGAGUAGGUCAGUUACACAGGCCAUUUUUACCGCCAUGGGGGCGAUGUCGGACACCCUGUCCCACUCUAUCUCCUCCGCUAUUAGGGCAUCCAGCCACAACCCUGGCUCUGCACCCCCUAUAUCCGCUGAUAACAAGCCAAUGGUCCCUAGCGGCCGCAAGGCUACGUGCAAAUCGCACCAUCUGUCAGGUGCUACCUCCAAAACCAGUAAGACGGACAGGUUGCGCCCUGUUGAGAUUGAUGACGUGGUGCUCCCACGUAAAAGAGCUCCCCGCCAGGCAAAAACGGUGCGGACUUGGAAGAGGGCAAAAGCCUUAUCUGAUCCGUCCGACUCCGAUUCGGACUCAGAGGAGGUGUCAGAUGGGUCCGAUAACAUCGACCCACUUUNNNNNNNNNNNNNNNNNNNNNNNNNNNNNNNNNNNNNNNNNNNNNNNNNNNNNNNNNNNNNNNNNNNNNNNNNNNNNNNNNNNNNNNNNNNNNNNNNNNNUUUCAGAUAAUUCGUCCCCCAAACGCGGCGAAACUGCGCCUCCAGCGUUAGACGCGGAGCACGAGACGGAUGAGUCCGCUGUGUUAGAUCCCCAAGGGGAACCCCUUUUUGAUCCCGACACCUUGCAUAAUCCGCGUUCAGCGGAUUGGUACCCCACAACUCAUGUGGCCAUUUACAUUGCGACUAGGGUCAGAAAACCCCUCGACAAGGCCACAAGAAACAAGCUGAGAGCGGAAUGCCCACGGCCCACUGUCCCAGACAUGGCCUGCGUGACCCCUGAGGUGGACCCCAAGGUCGCUCAGUUUCUGGGUAAGUCAGGAUGGAGGGCCAAGAAGGGUUUGGACUACUCCUUAAAGCACUGCCAGGACAAGAUCCUGGACAUACUCGGGCCUAUAGCUAAAAUCUUCGAUAUGGUCGAAGCGGCCCUUACUGGGGGGACCUCAAUUGACUUGAUGGCCAUCAGAGGAUGGAUUCAGAGAGGCAUAUGCCUAAUAGGAAAUGCCAACACCGCUUUGGCCCCAGAACGGCGUAAAGCCAUAUUGAUGAAAAUCGAGCCAAAACUAGUACAUUUGGCAAUCUCCGAGCCUGGCACACAGGCAAAAGGUCUCUUAUUCGGAGACAAUUUUGUUAAAACCCUGGGCAAUUAUGUCAACACAUUUACGGCACUAGAUAAGGCACAACAUAAUAUGAAGCGAGUGUUCUCGCAAAAGGUUUUCGGUGGGGCCGGCAGACAGCGGGCCGUCUGUCCGGCCGCCCCUCCCGGACUCCGUUCCGGGGCUAUCGAGGCUCCGCCACAACACGGUUCCAUCCACCCGAACCAAGGGCAUAGUCACCAUUCUUCCCGACCAGGGGCAGGUCGUGGCAUCCACGCGGAACCAGGGGAUCCUCCUAUGGCUGUCGGCCUUAUGGUGAGUCACUCCCCAUUACACACCCUUCCCUUGGUACACGUGGGGGGAAGAUUGUUUCAUUUCCAGGAUGCGUGGCACAACCUAACCUCAGAUACAUGGGUCCUAGAGACCAUCCUCGGCUAUCACAUCGAAUUUACACAACAGCCGAUUCAACUGUCAUUGCCACAUCGGAUUGUUUUUUCCCCACUGGACAAACAGCUGGUGUCAAAAGAGAUUCGCACACUGGAGGAGAAAUGUGCGAUAUACAGGGUUCCCAUUACCGCCCCCGGGUUCCUAAGCAACAUCUUCCUAGUACCCAAGAAAGGUGGGGGCACGAGGCCAGUAAUAAACUUGCGGCCUCUCAACGCCUUUGUCACAUACCAUCACUUCAAGAUGGAAGGGAUACACUGCCUCCAGACCUGCUAAGACUGGGAGACUGGAUGGUAAAAUUGGACCUCCAAGAUGCAUACCUCACGAUACCGAUUGCCGAGGACUGUCAACACCUACUUCAAUUCCAAUGGGAACAGACGAUGUGGCGUUUCCGCUGCCUCCCUUUCGGCCUGUCUUCAGCCCCGUGGUGCUUCACCAACUGCUGAAACCGGUAGUCGCCCUCCUUCGCAGCAGAGGUGUACGUCUGAUCAUAUACCUCGACGACAUGCUGAUCAUGGCCCAAGACACCCAGCUACUGAACCAACACCUAUCCUGGGCGUUGACCCUUCUGCAAAACCUGGGUUUCCUAAUCAAUUGGGACAAAUCGAUCCUGCAACCCACUCGAUAGAGUUUCUGGGCUUCGAUAUAGACGCAAUACACGGAACACUCAGUUUACCUACCGCGAAAGUAAAACUUAUCAAGAAGGAAAUCCGGAGGACGUCGACUCGACCAGACUUAACCCUCUGACAGCUAGCCAGGAUAAUUGGCCUGCUCUCUGCCUCUAUACAAGCGAUCUUCCCAGGCCCUCUCCACUACAGAUCCCUGCAACAGCUCAAAGCAACCCACCUACGCUUGGGUCACAUUCUGUACCUCUAGACUGCGCGGCAAAAGAGGAACUGGCCUGGUGGCUUCAACACAUUGAAGCAUGGAACGGCAAGGCAAUCUUCGGAACCACUCCGGAUCUAGUUAUAGAAUCCGACGCGAGCAGACUGGGAUGGGGGGCUCGGUGUGGUCCUACCUCUACAGGUGGAAAAUGGUCUCCCGAAGAAAAAGAACUCCACAUCAAUGGUUUGGAACUCCUGGCUGGGUCAUUCGCCCUACGGAGCCUCCUCGGACACACGACCAAUUGUUCCAUACUUCUGCGCAUGGACAAUAUCUCAGCCGUCCGCUACAUCAACCACUUGGGUGGCACGAGAUCCUCAACCCUCACGAACUUGGCGAAGGAAUUUUGGAAUUUCUGCCUGAGUCGCAACAUAUCAGUACAGGCGGAAUACCUCCCAGGACUCUCCAACACCGUAGCGGAUUGGAACUCCAGGCAUUUACGGGACAACAGUGCAUGGCGAUUGAAUCGCACAAUAUUCCAGAAGCUCCACCAACUCUGGGGACCAAUGCACAUCGACCUUUUUGCCUCCCGGCUGAAUGCUCAACUCCCCUCAUUCUUCAGCUGGAGACCGGACCCAGACGCCACGGCAGUGGAUGCCUUCCUACAAAAUUGGCCGAACACCAGGCUAUACGCCUUUCCUCCCUUCUCACUCAUAGCGCGAACUCUCCUACACUUACAGCGCUCCCGAGCAUCGUUAGUUUUGAUAACACCAUUCUGGACGGCACAGCCAUGGUUCCCUUCGCUCAUGGAAAUGUCAAUCGACCUCCCCAGAUUGAUCCCAGGGGGCACGGAAUUAUUAUCAGAUCCCGAUGGGAACUCUCACCCACUUCUAGUGCAAGGCCAUCUCAGACUCCUAACAUGGCUCCUCUCCAGGGACCCUGGACCAUGCCGAAUGUUUCACAAACAACUUUGGACUUAUUGGCAGGAGCUUGGGCCCCAGGGACAAGACGAUCCUAUGCUCACAUGGAACACAUGGUGUAGUUGGUGCGUGGAACAGCACGUGGAUCCCAUACGUGCUCCUAUAAAUCAAGUUCUGGGUUUCCUUACUACCCUUUACGAUCAAGGCUUGGCUUACCGCACCAUAAAUGUGUACAGGUCGGCGAUUUCAGCUGGGCACAAUGGUUGGGAAGGUUUCCCGGCCGGGAAGCACUUAUGGAUCUGUCGUCUCCUACGGGGCAUAAAAUUUGCACGUCCGCCACAACCUCGUUACACGGCCUUAUGGGAUGUGAAUAUGGUCCUUCGUUUGUUGCAAGACUGGCCCCCAAACUCGAACCUCACACUCAAGCAAGUGUCUGCAAAAUUAGCAAUGCUUCUGUGCUUAAUUUCCUGCAACAGGGUAUCAGACGUGCGGGCCUUGGAUAUCGAUGCACGAUCAUUCACUCCGGAUGGUGUCCUGUUUAAUAUCACCAGACGUACAAAGUCGAACAUCACUUCAGUCUUCUAUCCCUCCUUUCCUCACAACGCUAACCUCUGCCCGGUGGCAUGCCUGCAGGAAUACGAAUUGCGGACCCAGUCAUUCCGGAACCCAACCACACAUGAUCUGUUCUUGGCAGUGAGGAAACCUCAUCAACCAGUAUCCACGGGAACUCUGACACGCUGGCUGAAAUGGAUAAUGUCAACUGCUAACAUCGACACAGCUGUUUACGGAGCACAUUCUACUAGAGGCGCUAUGGCCUCUAAAGCAUUCUCCAUUGGAUGUAAACUGGAAGACCACCUCCGCACAGCUGACUGGUCCCGAGAAUCGACGUUCAAAGAAUACUACUUUAGACCAACAGAACAUAUCUCGUCUAGGGUCAUAUCACAGCUUUAAACUAGCCUAAUAGGAGCCUCCGUGUCCUUUAAUAAAAUUACCAGAUUUUACUAAUUACAUGACGUAAAGUCAUGAUUUUAUAAAGGACACGGAGGCGAGUAUUAGCCCACCCACUGAAAGGUAAGCCAUACAUGUAUUUUUCCCACCCACUUGCUCAUAAACAGGUUAUAGCAUUUUGGAUGUUUAGAUUCAAGGUUAUAUAGUAAUAAUUGUAAUUUAGACUGACUUAUACUAGAAUGACGUAAACAAUGUUUUCAGAUAUAAACGUUUGUUAAAAGACCGGUACAGCAUAUAUGCAUGACAACGAUAUUUGAAUAUAUUUUACCAUAUAUCUCUCUGUCUCCUACAGCUUAACCCUGUGAUGACAUAACUGGGAUCGUCCGCUAUCUCCUCAUUAUUUCGGAACAUUCACCGGAACCCCUACGGGAGAUUACCCAAGUUUGAGAAUUUUUUCCUUGUUGAUGUGUUCAGCUUCGGCGUCAGCCAGAAAGAGGAAGUAGUUUAGCUCACAUGAG